UCAAUAGGUCUGUGGAAUUCCAGAAAUGCAUGUGGCAACUGCUGGCUCCAGCUUCUGGCUCCAGAGAAUUGCUUCUCCAUGUGGGAACAUCUUAUGCUCUUUUUCAGUGAUUUUUCUCAUGAGGAUGGUGUGGUUUUUGCUCUCUGCCUUCAGACUGGUCCAUACUACAGACCUGAACACGCUUCUGAGCACCUGAGUGUCCCUGGGGCGAAUGGCCGUGCCAGCCUGCCAGCAAGGGCUUCCCGUAUGCCAGAGAGGCUUCAGAUGAAGGAGCAGGGUGCUCAAGGCAAGAGACAUUUUGGUGUCCUUUUCUGCACUUGAGAAUACUUCUCAUUACUGCAUGGAUUCCAGUUUAAAAUUAUGUUACUUCCCAACAUGAGCUGGCUUCAAUUCCCUUUGAAAUGGUCCACCAGGCUGAGAUGGGGAUACAUGGAUCAUCACAGGCUGUCCUCAAUGACAGGGAACUUCCAGGAGUUCCUCUGGCUUCAAAAGCUCCACCCCAUCUGUCUAGAGUGGUCUGCUGUUGGACACCAUCAAGGACCCUGCCCUGCUGGGCAGCUAUCUGAGACACUGCCAGAACACACUGUGUAAGUGGGGUUCUCACAAGCUGGAGAGACCACCAGGACAUGGACAGACCAUGGUGCCUGGGUACCUGGGAGGCUGGGAGCCCAUUUUGUGGCCACACACUGAAUGAAGACUGAUGUGUAGAGCAAUGUGGGAGAGAAUGGGGGAUGGCUAUGACGGCUGUGGCUGGCUGCACCACCAGGCUGACCAGCAGUUUGGCCGGAACGCCUACCAGUGAGAAAGACUUAGGACUGUCAGAUUUAACCAAGGUUUUUGGCAGCCCCAGGCUAUAAGAUCCUCGGUUUGAAGGUCUGCAAGGCAGGGUUAAGCUGCAAUGCAUGGUGACAGGAGCUGGAAUGGGGUCCUGGGCUGUGGGCAAGGGCAGAUGCGAAAGGAUGAGCCUGUGGUGCCUUCCCACUAUCUGCCACCUCAGAGGUGUUUGUGGUUCUGCCCUCCUGCAUCAGAUAAUGUUUGUCACAUCUUUAAAAGUCCAUACUUUUUUUACUUGACCUGAUUACUUCAGGCUUGCCACAUAGGGUGUGAGUUGUGCUGCUUCUCAAGACUCAGCAGCGCCUUGUCUGAGCUUUGGAUGAGAGCUCAGUUCAUCAGAUGCCUGGUGCUUCAGGUGCCCUUAAUUACUGACCUGUCAGUCUCCAACGAUAUUUGAAGAACCGGUACAGCAAUCAAUUCAAUACUAAAUAAUUAAAGGAAGGUGAUAGGAUUAGUGUUGCAUAACCUGAAUUUAUGAAAGAUAUUACAUUCUCAUUUUAAAAACAAUGUUCAAUUAGUUUGAGAAUUUUGGCUGAUAAACAUGGUGUUACUGUAGCAAUACUCUUAGCCUUGUGUAAUUAAGCUUGCUUAAUCUUAAAUGGUAUUCUGACUGAGAUAAAAAGUAAGACAAAGUUGACAAUGUAUCAUUGUCUUUUUCAGGAGAGAUUCAGAAGAAAACAAUUUUUAUUGACAAUGUUGGAGGAAUUAGUAAAAAAAAAAAAAAAAAACCUGGCACAAGCAAAUAAUGCAUAUUUCAGUUAGGUAAAAUACAGUAUAACUAGGAACAAAAAAUGCCAAUCACAUUUGCCUAAUAAGGUGUUCUGUUGUGCAGAGCAGUAAUUCUGGAAGAGAUUAGGGCUCAUUGAUAGAUAAUCUGUAGUAAUGAAAUUGCAACAUGGUGUUGGGACCUUCAAGGCCAACGCUGUUCUAGAAUGUAGUCCCCAGCUUGUCAUAGAGCAGGAGCUCAGUGAGGUUUGUUGCCUCCACAGUUGACAAGGGUGCAGCUGGCAUAUGGUGUCCAGUUCUGGAGUUCACACUCCAAAAGUGUUGUAAAAAACUCAGAGAAAGUUCAGCUCAGACCAAUACUGUGUGAAGGCCUGAAGAACCUCCCACAGGAGACACAAAGUCUACUGAUCUUCUCGAAACGCUGAGAAAAGGGAGUGACAGAGCACCUCUGGCGGGCACCUGGCAUCCAGCCAGGGUCAGCUCACCACAAUAUACCACAGACUACAUAUAUAUAACAUGCAAGAAGGUUCAGGAAUGAGAACAACAAACCAGAUGUCAUCACUAUUACUCGAAACUCUUCUUUCAAACGUCUCAGAUGUUAGGAGUCUAGACCAGUGAGAAAUUAUAGCUGCUUCUACAGGCUUCUUCUUUAUUCUUUCAUUAGGACUGUAUAUUCAAAUAAGCAAUGUCUCUUUUCUCUCCUUUCCCAGCUCAGACCAUUAGAGCUUUGACAAUAUAUAUGUUCAUUCAAUUUCUGGGUUUAGAUUUCAUUACUGCUUUUAGUAAGGUGGAAAAGUUAUUUUUGCAGUGCAAGUCUAUGAAAUCCUAGAGUUAUUCCUCCGAGGCCUUUUACCCCAUGUUUGGAAAAAAAAAAAUCAGCUAUUAGAUGUGAACUGCUUCAGCAACAUGGCUUGGUUUAUUAACUAGAUGAUAGCAAUAAAGUUGGCAAAGCAUUACUUGACAAAUUAAAAAUUCUCUACUGUCUCAUUCUCCACACUGCAGCAAACAUCAGAUCCAGCCUUGGAAGCAGCAUUAAAAAUCAGGUCUUUAGUGGACAUCUGAUGCUUUAUUUUGUAUAUUACACCACACUACAUAUUAUGUCUUCAAAUCACUUUUUGACUUGUAUAAACAAGGAAAAACAAGGCAUAGAUAACUGCAUGUGUAAAAAGGCACCUGAGAUGGUUUUGUAAGUCUUCCUUGACUGAUCUUAAGAGACUUGUGUAGUACAAGCUAUUUUUAACUGUCUCUUACUGUGUAAGCACCGAGAAGUAAGUGUCUUCUCUGCAAGACCCGUGCUUGCUGCGUAGGUGCACCUGCUGGGGUUGUCCUUUUGUCAGGCAGGCACAAGGAAGGGAUACAGAGAUAUUUUUAAUCUUUGUACAUAAAUAUUUUCCCCUUCUAAUCAUGAAGGACAGCGUUUUGGGACAAGGACUACGUCACCCAGUGAGUCAGGAGAACUGCCCGUAGGACAGUUUAUUGUUUCCAGCCAGCAUGCAGCUUGCCAGAAGUGCAGACAUACUUUGCUUCCAUCAGUUCUCAGCAGCUCAGCCCUCAGCUCAUAGUGAACACUCUCCUCCAGCAUUUCAUCAGAAAUGGCCCUCAGACGUGCUUUCUCCCACUGUUGUUUCACAAGAGCCUCUUCAGUUCCCGUGCCAGGGAUCCAACCUUCCUGUAAAAGUAUCGCCAAAGUGAUAUUUCUGUGCUAUCCCGCUUCCCCUUGGGCUGAGGGCAGGAGUCACCCCACAGUUACACCAGGUGUUCAGCACCAGCUUCUCUGCUUGGCAUUUCCCAGGAUGCAGACCAGGUUUGCUUGUUUGUGCUUUGGUGAUGUCCUCAAAACUUUCUCCCCAGGCCAGCCCAGGCUCUGGAGAAGGAACACAUCACCCACGAAGCUGUCCCUGGUAACUACCCCAUCACCCUUCGCUCUGCAGCCAGGUUGGGGCUGGGCUACCAGUGCACACCAGUGCCAGAGAAGGGUUCCACACAAUGUCCCAAUACCCAAUAACUGGCUUGAGCAGGGCAUUUAUCCCUUCAUCUGUGGUAUUCCCACAACUGUUGUCCUCAUUCCCUCCAGCCCCAUCUCCUCCAGUCAACAGACAUUUUCACUUAGCCCAUCAAAGCUCUCCAGUGGAUGCUAAAUCCCUUUUGCUUUGUUUCUUUACUUUUCAAACUGUGUUAUUGUGGGAGGAAAAUUAUCCUUUAUCUGCCCUUCUGCCCUCUCCAGUUGGAUUUCUUUCCAUUUGCUCCUUUUGGUGGUUAAAUUGCAAUCCAAAGCUAAUUAUCUCCUCCUCUCCUCUCCUCUCCUCUCCUCUCCUC